GAUGAACGCUGGCGGCGUGCCUAACACAUGCAAGUCGAGCGGGGAUAUAUUGGUGCUUGCACCAAUAUAUCCUAGCGGCGGACGGGUGAGUAACGCGUGGAUAAUCUGCCCUUAACAUUGGAAUAACAUUCAGAAAUGGAUGCUAAAACCGAAUAAGCUCCCACUAUCGCAUGGUAGAGAGAGAAAAUAUUUAUAGGUUAAGGAGGAGUCCGCGUCUGAUUAGCUAGUUGGAGAGGUAAGAGCUCACCAGGGCGACGAUCAGUAGCCGACCUGAGAGGGUGAUCGGCCACAUUGGGACUGAGACACGGCCCAAACUCCUACGGGAGGCAGCAGUGGGGAAUAUUGCACAAUGGAGGAAACUCUGAUGCAGCAACGCCGCGUGAGCGAUGAAGGUCUUCGGAUCGUAAAGCUCUGUCUUUAGGGAUGAUAAUGACAGUACCUAAGGAGGAAGCCACGGCUAACUACGUGCCAGCCGCCGCGGUAAUAC
rnacentral:rRNA from 1 species